CCGCGACCCUCUAAAGAGGUAGGGACCCCUCCCCUUGGAAUGUGGCUUUGGGCUCCGCGGGACCCUCCCCGUUAAGAGUCCGGGCUGUGGACUGUGACUUCCCGGCGCAGACCAGGACCUGACAUCCAGAGAUGCUUAGCAAAUAUCCGUUGAGUGAAUGACCAAGCUGCUGCCAGGGCAAGCGGAUGUUGGUGGACAGGGGUGCUGAAGCCUAAAGUGAACUGACCUUCAUCUCUUCGGAUCACUCUGACCAUGUACAACUAGAGGUGGCCAUAUAGGAAAACAGGCCAUUCAGCUACCAUUAACUUAGGUGUAUUCUGCUCCUGAUCUGAUGCAGUACCAGCUAAUUAGCCCAUCAUGUCCUGCUUCUCUCCCCGCUAUUACCCAUGACCAUACCUCAGUUUUCUACUACUUAAAGAGUCCCAAAGGCUUCUCUCUCUCUCUCUCUCUCUCUCUCUCUGGAGAAACCAUAGUCCUACAUAGUCCGCCUCCUCUCCUCUCUCUGAUAUCCUCUGUCACCCGUGCUCUGCGACAGCCACAAUGGCCUUUUUAAGAUCCACAAGUCACACUUUUGCCUUCUUCAACUCCUCACUCCAGUGAGCCCCUCUGUCACCAUUCUAUUUAAAAUUAAAAUAUUUCUACAGACUCUAUAUUUCUUUCCCUGCUUUAUUUUUCUCCAAAGCACUUAACACCUUCUAACAUAAUAAGUAGUUUGUUUAUUCAGUAGCUGUCUGUCUUUCCCCAUGUGACAGUCAGCUUGCUAAUCACCAAAGGCCCAUUCUCCAUGCUGGGAACUGUGUUUUCCAGAGAUGCCCUUGCAUUUAGCCAGGGCCAUGUGACUAGUUCUUGCUGGUGGACUUAGAGCAGAAGUAUGACUCUGAAUGAGCACUCAGAAAUAGGCUGGGCCAAAAACACCUGUAUGGAACUCUAAACUUAACAGAUACGAGACAUUUAUUGUAUUAACCCACUGAGCUCUAUUUGUUAUGGCAUCUAUGACUACACCUCGAUCACUGUCUUUCACUAGAAUGGAAGCUGUCUAUGCCCAGUGCCCCACACAGUUUGGCACUUUGUAGAUAUUUUUAAAUAUCUGUUGAGUGAGUGAACAAACAAAUGCAUGAACAAAUUCCUUUUUCACCACCAAUAAGGAAAAUAAGUGGAUGGUUGGAAAGGAAUGGAAAAAAUGGAAAAUGGAAUAGGAUUAGUUGGAGUGGGUGUAUUUGAAAAAAUAGAAACUGAAGCCAGGCACAGUGAUGCAUGCAGUAAUUCCAGCUGCUGGAGAGGAUGAGAUAGUAAGAUCACAAGUUCUAGGCCACCCUAGGCAACUUAGCAAGACCCUGUCUCAAAAGGAAAAGUUAAAAAAAAAAAAAUAGCUGGGAAUAUCUCUGUAGUUCAUCACUUGCCUACCACGUAGGAGGCCCUGAAUUAAAAUCCCAGUCCCACUGGGUGCCAUGUCGCACACCUGUAAUCCCAGUUGCUCGGGAGGCUGAGACAGGAGGAUAGCGAGUUCAACGCCAGCCUCAGCAAUGGCGAGGCACUAAGCAACUCAGUGAGACCUUGUCUAUAAAUGAAAUACAAAAUAGGGCUGGGGAUGUGGCUCAGUGGCUGAGUGCCCCUGAGUUCAAUCCCGGUAGCAAAAAAAAAAAAAAAAAAAAAUCCCAGUCCCGCAAAAAAACUAAAAAUUAAAUACAUUUUAAAAGGGUUGAGGAUGUAGGUCAUUGCUUACCUAAUAUGUUAGGCCCUGGGUUCCCAGUACUUUAAAAAAAAAAAAAAAUUUUUUUUUUUUUAAAUCUACAAACUGAGUUUGUAGAGAUCAUUGGCUACUAGGCUUUGGUAAAAUGACAUUAAGUUUUAUCCUUUCGUUUUACCUUUCUCUUCUUUUCUUCCUCCCACUGCUCCACCUCCUCUCCUGUACUCACUGCUCUGGUUUGGAUAUGAUUUGUCCCCCAUAGGUUCAUGUACUGUAAGUUUUACCUUCCUGCUGUGAAGUUACCAUGUUGAGGUGGUAGAAUUUUAAGAGGUGGGGCCUUGUGGGAGGUAAUUCAGCCAUUAGGGCAUCACCCUUGGAGGGGAUUAAUGCUGGCCUCUCAGAGGAAGAAUGGGGGGCAGUAGCUCAGUAGAAGAGCUACCAUGUGUGAAGCACUGGGUUUGAGCCUCAGCACCACAUAAAAAUAAAUAAGUAAAAUAAAAAUUAAAAUAAUUUUAUAAAAAGAGAAAGAGUGGCCUCUCCCAUUCUCUGUCUUCCUUUCUUACCAUCCUAUGGAUCCCCAGCCCUCCCCUGCCACACACACACACCCAUAUUUCUCUUUUUCCUGCCAAGAUUCCAUCCAACAUGCUGCAAUUCAGCCAAGGGGGUUCUCACUUAAAACUGAACAGAUAGAGCCACGUAAUUUUGGAUUUUCAGCUUCUAAAACUAUGACUAAAUAAACCUCUUUUUUUUCAUAAUUUAACCAGGCUCAGGUAUCUUUUUAUAGCAACAGAAAGGAACUAAUACACCACCCAAAUUCUCUCUUACUCGUCUCUCCUUUUCCCUUUCUCCUUUCUCUAAUGGAUUGUCUUCUUUUAUUUUUCAUAUAAUCCAACAAGUAUUCACUGUCUAUUAAUUUGAACCACUCAUGUUUAGCCAAGAUCUUUUAAGCCAUUUAAAAUAUAGGAGAAGGAGAUAACAUGGAUUUAAAAAUAUAAAGAAAUUUUAAACCCUUGGACUUGUGUGUGUGUGUGUGUGUGUGUGUGUGUGAGAGAGAGAGAGAGAGACAGAGAGAGACAGAGAGAGAGAUAAGAAUUGAAACCAGAGCCUCAAAUAUAUUAUGCUUCAUUGAACUACACCCCCAACACUAAUUUCUUGGAUUCUUACAUACCUCUUCUUUUUAGGGCAAAACCUAAAUUCAAAGACAUAAUAACAGAACUUUUAAAAACUACUUUAGGCCUGCUUCUUUUCUACUUGAUAUUUAGAGAACAAAGGAUCCAUAACACAGUCAGACCACCUCUACCACUGAGAACAACGUUUUAAAAAGUAGACAGUAUAUGUUUUGAGAAGCAUCUGCUUGAACACAUCUGAAUAACAGGGGGGGAAAGCCUGGCAUGGUGGCGCACCCUGUAAUCCCAGCAGCUCUGGAGGCUGAGACAGGAGAAUCCUGAGUUCAAAGCAGCCUCAGUAGUGGCGAGGCACUAAGCAACUCAGUGAGACCUUGUCUCUAAAUAAAAUACAAAAUAGGGCUGGGGAUGUGGCUCAGUGGUUGAGUGCCCCUGAGUUCAAUCCCCAGUACCCAUAAAAAAGGUUGGGAAGAACUAUCAAAGGUGGACAGGAGGGCUGGGAUUGUAGUUUGUGCCAGAGCGCUUGCCUAGCACAUGUGAGGCACUGAGUUCGAUCCCUAGCAGCACGUAAAAAAAUAAAUAAAUAAAAUAAAGUUAUUCUGUCCAUCUACAACUCCAAAAAAAGGGAUGGACAGGAAAGGGAGGUGGUUUUGACACAUGGGAUCCUUUUGCCCUGUAGGCAUUUGCUUUUGACAGCUCUCUAGGUCUACAGCAAGUGUGAGCAGACUUUUUAAUGUAAAGGGCCAGAUACUAAACAUUUUAGGCCUGUGUGCCAUAAUCUUACCUGUUGGUUUGGGGUGUUUUUAGCAGUUUUUUUUCUUAAUGUAAAACUGUGAUAAUAGAUAUUAAUGAUGAUUGCACAACUUUGUGAAUAUAUUUAAUCCUACUAAAUUGCACUCGUACAGUGGUUGAAAUGGAAAACAUUUAUGUUAAUGUAAUAUUUGACCACAAUAAAAAAGGUUUUCAAAAACUUA